CAUCAACCUUUCCCCUUUCUUUUGGUACCGGGAGGUAGCCAACCAAAAAAAACCCCACUGAGUUUUAGUAAGGAGCCAUGAGUCCCUUUACAUGAACAUGGGUUUGGUUUUUCAAAACCGUGGUAAUUGAGCUUUGGUUUUUCAAAAUCAGAAUUAGUUUGGUUUGAGACUUCAGUUUACCCCAGCAACCCAAGUUCUUGCAGCUUUAGAUGAAGGGACUGUACCAGAAAAUAGCUCUAAACAAUUAGGGGGGCAGAUUUUCAAAUAUUAUCAGUUCCCAUUUAGAUACCUAAAUAAGAGUCAGAUUUUCAAAAGUGACAAGCACACAGCAACUCCCAUUAUGCUUCUGUAGGCCCCCUUUACUAGAGGGGCCUCACUCUGAACUUUAUUGGAAGUGUUCCAGUUGGGAAGAUCCUGUGUGCUGCAAUCUAGCCUUAGAGACUACAACUCCCAUGAUGCCUUGGGGAAAGAGUGAGAAACUUCCUCUUGCAGGGAGUGCGGGGAGAGCAGGAGGUGGGCUCCAUUUUGGGAAAGGAGUGAGAUUGCUGGUGUGGACAUCUGUCCAUACCAGGCACUGCUGCUAACUGCUGCUUGGAGCCUGCUGGGGCUUUGAUUGGGCAGGGAGCUUCAGAGAUGAUUGGUGGUUUCACUGGAGCCAGGGCAGAGACUAUGACUGUACCUAGAGCUGACUGAGGUGGGCCUGCAGUGAAGGAACUGAGAGUAACCCCCACUCUUGUUUGGGAAAGUACUUGCAAGGGAUGGGGCACAGUAGAGAGACUGAGUCUGAGGAGAGGCAGAAUGAUCAUCCCAUUGAACCAGGACCCAGAGCUGCUGAAAUUUGGUGGGGUCAACUCCAGUCAUCAGAGGGGUUGUAUUGUGUUGGCUGUACUGAUACACAGAACCAACAGAGUGCUGUCUCCAGCUUCAGAUAUUCAAGCAUGUCCACUCAAGCAAGCGUCUAGGACUCUGAAAUCCAGAAGAGUGUACACUCCGGGGUGGGGUAAAUGGUGGCAGUGUAAAUGCCAGUUAGAUAAGUUUCAUUUAUUACUGUAUACUAAAUUUUAUUGAUUUUUUCAACUGCCCCCUGUGGAUUUAAAUUAGUAGUGACAUAUAAUUUUAGUCUAUUAUACCCUGUUUCUUUAAAUUGUUAAAUAAAAGUGUGUUAACUCUAAUUUAAGUAUUUUGGAUGUAUAUUAUUUAUAAUUGGUAUUUUUGAGUGAGACCCAUGUCACAGAUUAUUAUUAUUAUUAGAAUAGGUUUAUUUCUGGAGGUUCCCAAGGCAUGCCACUGAGUGUGUACAGGGGCCAGCCAGGUACAGGCGCCGCCAAUUGUAAAUUCCUUUAGGAGUAAAGGAACUGCAGCAGAGGGAUGGAUAGAGGAUUCCCACCUAUCCAGCAUCACCACUGGGAUACUCAGGAUCUCCUUUAACGUCAACAACAUCAGGUGCCCAGGCACACAGGUGCCCUGUGAGCAGUUGCCAGAUCUUUCUUUUAUCCAGUGGUUCAGGGCUGCACAAAUGGCUGGCAGUGAUGGUGUCUUGAGCUUGUUGUAAUUAAAACCAACACCUUUUCUAACUGGUUUAAGACGCUCACUUCUUCUGAAAUUGCUCACUGCUGUAAACUCUGAGAAUGUGCCUGUGUAACUCCGACGGACCUGCCCCACUCCGCCAUUACAUGGGACAGAACACCACACUCAGAAGAUGUGUGGGUUAUACAUAUUUCAGUGAAUCAAUGAGGUACCAAGUUAUUAUCAGCAAGUGUAACUUACAUGGAAACAGUGCAGAAGACAGCAUGUUGCUUUCAAGUGAACAAUCAUGCAGUAGUGAAUCCCUUGCUGCAGACUAGCCCCAUAAACUAAGCACUUUGCUAUGUAAUGAAGCAGCUCAGUUGAUUGGUAUCACACUUGGAGAGGAUGUUUGGCAUAAUCUAGCCUUGAAAGGACAGUUGGGGUUUCUGCUGUCUUCAGAGAGCUGUGGGGGAAAAGUCUUGUGACUAAUGAAACUGGCAAAUAAAUAAUAAUACCUAACUGUUAUUUAGCACUUUCCAUCAGCAGAUCUUCCAAAGGAAGUCAGUGUCAUUAUUCCUAUUUUAUAACAAAGGUGAAGUGACUUUCUCACGGUAAUCCAGCAGGUCAGUGGCAGAGCUGGGAAUGAAACCUGGGUCUCAGGCCAGAGGCCUCUCCACUAGGCUGCACUACCUCAAUCAUAAGCUCCUAAUCAAAUCAAUCAUGUUUUCAGGGGUCUGUGAAAAAAUGAAGUUGGUGGUUCAAUUUUUUCUGCAGAUUUUUGGUAGAGGGCAGAAUUAUAUGUAUGUACAGUGCCU